GCACACGCCCAACGCCGGUGGCCUGGGUAUGUGCGCGGUGGGCGUGGGUGGCGCCGACGCGGUGGACGUGAUGGCGGGCCUGCCCUGGGAGCUGAAGGCGCCCAAGGUGAUCGGUGUCAAGCUGACGGGCAAGAUGUCCCGGUGGACCUCGCCCAAGGACGUCAUCCUCAAGGUGCGAGCCUGGCAGGGCUGCUGGUUGGGGUAGUCUUGGGGCAUGGCAGGGUUGGCGCGGGCGCAGGCUGGUAGGGCCCUAGCCAGGGCGGAACGGGCUGGUUUGGGACGAUGGUACCGCUACGGUUAACGGUGAUGAGAGGCAGUGAUGCACCUGUGGUGGUACCGUAACCUCCGCGCUCCAGUCGGACCGGCCCCUCUCCUACCUUCUCCGCCAUACCGCUUUGGCAACCUGCAGGUGGCGGGCAUCCUGACGGUGAAGGGCGGCACUGGCGCCAUCGUGGAGUACUUCGGCCCGGGCGUGGACCACAUGAGCUGCACCGGCAUGGCAACGGUUUGCAACAUGGGCGCUGAGAUCGGUGCCACCACCUCCAUGUUCCCUUACAACAAGCGCAUGCACGACUACCUGGUCGCCACCGGCCGCGCGCCGGCCGCCUCGCUGGCCGACUCGUUCAAGUGGGUGGCAGCGUGGCAGACGUGUACCUUGGCAUUCCCCGAGGAAGUUGCAUUAAGCGGCACCGCCAUUGAGGCUUGACUCUGGAAUAGGCUGCCGGUGACCGUGGGCUGGGGCGGGGCAGGCGAUGGGGUGGCCUGGUGGCACCGCCAAGGUACAGGCCUUCACGGCUCCCAUUGAAUGCGGCCCGCUUUUUAUAACGUACC
rnacentral:lncRNA from 1 species